rnacentral:lncRNA from 1 species
GGCAGAUCACCUGAGGUUGGGAGUUCGAGACCAGCCUGACCAACAUGGAGAAAUGCCAUCUCUACUAAAAAUACAAAAAUUAGCCGGGCAUGGUGGCACGUGCCUGUAAUCCCAGCUACUCAGGAGGCUGAGGCAGGAGAAUCGCUUGAACCUGGGAGGUGGAAGUUGCAGUGAGCUGAGAUCACGCCAUUGCACUCCAGCCUGGGCAACAAGCGAAACUCUGUCUCAAAAAAAAAGAAAAGACAGUAGCUUAUGUUCAUGUCAAGCACCUCUCAUCACAGUCUAGUUCCAAGGAAAAAUUCCAGCGUUUUCUACAUUGGGUGCUGUGUCAUCUGAAAUCGGCACAUUCCAUGGAGGAAGGAGUCCUGCUUUGUUGCAUGUAUCCUAGGGUUUAAUGUUGGUAAAUGAGUCACUCUAGCAUUUGUAGAAGGCUCCCUGAGACUCCUACAGCAGUCGACCAAGCCCAAGGACAUAAUUGAAUCUGGAGAGUCCUGG